rnacentral:rRNA from 1 species
AGCUCCAGUAGCGUAUAUUAAAGUUGCUGCAGUUAAAAAGCUCGUAGUUGAAUUUCUGAUCAUAUGAACUUAAUCCGCCCCGUUUAGGUGUGUGAGUAUUAAUUGUUUGUUGAUCAUCCUUAGAGUACAUUUAUCUACCAUUUAUUUGGCCGGGUAAUAUGGACUCUAUCAUUUACUUUGAAAAAAUUAGAGUGUUCAAGGCAGGCAUUAUCGCUGUGAAUACAUUAGCAUGGAAUAAUAAGAUAGGACUUUGGUACUAUUUUGUUGGUUUUCAGCACUGAAGUAAUGAUUGAUAGGGACAGUUGGGGGCGCUACUAUUCAAUGGCCAGAGGUGAAAUUCUUGGAUUCAUUGAAGAGUAACUGAUGCGAAAGCGUUCGCCAAGGAUGUCUCUUUCA